rnacentral:tRNA from 1 species
UCCUGAAUAGCUCAGUUGGUUAGAGCAUCUGACUGUUAAUCAGAGGGUCGCAGGUUCAAGUCCUGCUUCAGGAG